rnacentral:rRNA from 1 species
AUUGAACGCUGGCGGCAGGCUUAACACAUGCAAGUCGAGCGAGCGGCGGACGGGUGCGUACUGUCUGGGAAACUGCCUGAUGGAGGGGGAUAACUACUGGCAACGGUAGCUAAUACCGCAUACCAUCAGAUGUUCCCAGAUGGGAUUAGCUAGUCGGUGUGGUAAUGGCUCACAUAGGCGACGAUCCCUAGCUGGUCUGAGAGGAUGACCAGCCACACUGGAACUGAGACACGGUCCAGAAGCCUACGGGAGGCAGCAGUGGGGAAUAUUGCACAAUGGGCGCAAGCCGGAUGCAGCCAUGCCGAGUGUGUGAAGAAGGCCUUCGGGUUGUAAAGCACUUGCAGCGAGGAGGCGUUACUCGCAGAAGAAGCACCGGCUAACUCCGUGCCAGCCGCCGCGGUAAUUC